GUGAAUCAUCAAAUCUUUGAACGCAAAUUGCACUCUCUGGUAUUCCGGAGAGUAUGCCUGUUUGAGGGUCGGUUUAAAUAAAAAUCGGGGUUUUUGCCACCUUUGGUGGUGACGCUUCGGAAUUGGGUCGUCUUUACCUUUCGGUUAAGUGACUUAAAAUUUUGAAUGGAAUUCGAAAGUAAUUUAAUUUUAUUUGUUAGUUUUUGUAUUU
rnacentral:misc_RNA from 1 species